AUGCAGUCGAGCGGUAGCACAGAGAGCUUGCUCUCGGGUGACGAGCGGCGGACGGGUGAGUAAUGUCUGGGAAACUGCCUGAUGGAGGGGGAUAACUACUGGAAACGGUAGCUAAUACCGCAUAACGUCGCAAGACCAAAGUGGGGGACCUUCGGGCCUCAUGCCAUCAGAUGUGCCCAGAUGGGAUUAGCUGGUAGGUGGGGUAACGGCUCACCUAGGCGACGAUCCCUAGCUGGUCUGAGAGGAUGACCAGCCACACUGGAACUGAGACACGGUCCAGACUCCUACGGGAGGCAGCAGUGGGGAAUAUUGCACAAUGGGCGCAAGCCUGAUGCAGCCAUGCCGCGUGUGUGAAGAAGGCCUUCGGGUUGUAAAGCACUUUCAGCGGGGAGGAAGGCGGUGAGGUUAAUAACCUCAUCGAUUGACGUUACCCGCAGAAGAAGCACCGGCUAACUCCGUGCCAGCAGCCGCGGUAAUACGGAGGGUGCAAGCGUUAAUCGGAAUUACUGGGCGUAAAGCGCACGCAGGCGGUCUGUCAAGUCGGAUGUGAAAUCCCCGGGCUCAACCUGGGAACUGCAUUCGAAACUGGCAGGCUAGAGUCUUGUAGAGGGGGGUAGAAUUCCAGGUGUAGCGGUGAAAUGCGUAGAGAUCUGGAGGAAUACCGGUGGCGAAGGCGGCCCCCUGGACAAAGACUGACGCUCAGGUGCGAAAGCGUGGGGAGCAAACAGGAUUAGAUACCCUGGUAGUCCACGCUGUAAACGAUGUCGAUUUGGAGGUUGUGCCCUUGAGGCGUGGCUUCCGGAGCUAACGCGUUAAAUCGACCGCCUGGGGAGUACGGCCGCAAGGUUAAAACUCAAAUGAAUUGACGGGGGCCCGCACAAGCGGUGGAGCAUGUGGUUUAAUUCGAUGCAACGCGAAGAACCUUACCUGGUCUUGACAUCCACAGAACUUUCCAGAGAUGGAUUGGUGCCUUCGGGAACUGUGAGACAGGUGCUGCAUGGCUGUCGUCAGCUCGUGUUGUGAAAUGUUGGGUUAAGUCCCGCAACGAGCGCAACCCUUAUCCUUUGUUGCCAGCGGUCAGGCCGGGAACUCAAAGGAGACUGCCAGUGAUAAACUGGAGGAAGGUGGGGAUGACGUCAAGUCAUCAUGGCCCUUACGACCAGGGCUACACACGUGCUACAAUGGCAUAUACAAAGAGAAGCGACCUCGCGAGAGCAAGCGGACCUCAUAAAGUAUGUCGUAGUCCGGAUUGGAGUCUGCAACUCGACUCCAUGAAGUCGGAAUCGCUAGUAAUCGUAGAUCAGAAUGCUACGGUGAAUACGUUCCCGGGCCUUGUACACACCGCCCGUCACACCAUGGGAGUGGGUUGCAAAAGAAGUAGGUAGCUUAACCUUCGGGAGGGCGCUACCACUU
rnacentral:rRNA from 1 species